GACGGGUGAGUAACGCGUGGAUAACCUACCCAUAGGUUGGGGACAACUCCGGGAAACCGGAGCUAAUACCGAAUAAUAUUUCAAGAACGCAUGUUUUUGAAAUCAAAGGAGGCCUCUCUAUAGAAGCUUCUGCCCAUGGAUGGAUCCGCGUCUGAUUAGCUAGUUGGUGGGGUAAUGGCCUACCAAGGCGACGAUCAGUAGCCGGCCUGAGAGGGUGAACGGCCACACUGGGACUGAGACACGGCCCAGACUCCUACGGGAGGCAGCAGUGGGGAAUCUUCCGCAAUGGGCGAAAGCCUGACGGAGCAAUGCCGCGUGAAUGAAGAAGGCCUUCGGGUUGUAAAGUUCUGUUGAGAAGGAAGAAAGAUCUAAGAGCUAAUACCUCUUAAGUUUGACGGUACUUUUCGAGGAAGCCCCGGCUAACUACGUGCCAGCAGCCGCGGUAAUACGUAGGGGGCAAGCGUUGUCCGGAAUCACUGGGCGUAAAGCGCAUGUAGGCGGGAUAUUAAGUCAGGUGUGAAAACUACAGGCUCAACCUGUAGAUUGCAUUUGAAACUGGUAUUCUUGAGUAUUGGAGAGGAAAGUGGAAUUCCUAGUGUAGCGGUGAAAUGCGUAGAUAUUAGGAGGAACACCAGUGGCGAAGGCGACUUUCUGGCCAAAAACUGACGCUGAGAUGCGAAAGCGUGGGGAGCAAACAGGAUUAGUAUACCCUGGUAGUCCACGCCGUAAACGAUGGGUACUAGGUGUCGGGUGUCAAUAGCUCGGUGCCGCAGUUUACACAAUAAGUACCCCGCCUGGGGAGUACGUACGCAAGUAUGAAACUCAAGGAAUUGACGGGGACCCGCACAA
rnacentral:rRNA from 1 species